CUCGUUUCGUAAUCUUACGACUGAUGAAUUUACCUCGCUGGGGUUCACGCUACAUUUUAACCGGUGUUAUACAUCGAUCGGGACAUGAGAGCCAGGUGUCAUCUUACCUGGUCAUAGAGACAGCCGGGGCUGACCCAGUGAAAAUGCGUUACUACUGAACGCGGCAGAGCAGAAGACCUAAGAACCAUUCUGGACACACACUUGGACACAGAACACGGCGAGCUUUACAGAAACCUUCUCUACAGGAAGAUAACAGAUGACAGCUGGGGUUCGGUGAGAUCUGAUUGGCUACCUGUUCCUCUGCCAGCUGCAGUAAAAAAAAAAAAAAAAAAAACACCCAAAAGCACAAGAGCUGCGUUAUCCAUGACUUCUUAAAGCAGCAGCGGCAGAUCUGCAGUCAUCUUCCUGCUCUGGUGGCUUUCUGGUUUGUCUCAAAGAUGCCUGCUGCGUGCUUACCUUGGGAAAGUCAUAAAAGAGAUUCUUUUGAGUCAGGAAUAAUGGCAUGUUUUAGGUAGAAGGAAACAGAGAUAGCAGCAGACACACAGACAGA
ensembl:lncRNA